rnacentral:rRNA from 1 species
CAGCAGUAGGGAUCUUCCACAAUGGACGAAAGUCUGAUGGAGCAACGCCGCGUGAGUGAAGAAGGUUUUCGGAUCGUAAAACUCUGUUGUUGGAGAAGAACGUAUUUGAUAGUAACUGAUCAGGUAGUGACGGUAUCCAACCAGAAAGCCACGGCUAACUACGUGCCAGCAGCCGCGGUAAUACGUAGGUGGCAAGCGUUGUCCGGAUUUAUUGGGCGUAAAGCGAGCGCAGGCGGUUUCUUAAGUCUGAUGUGAAAGCCUUCGGCUCAACCGAAGAAGUGCAUCGGAAACUGGGAAACUUGAGUGCAGAAGAGGACAGUGGAACUCCAUGUGUAGCGGUGAAAUGCGUAGAUAUAUGGAAGAACACCAGUGGCGAAGGCGGCUGUCUGGUCUGUAACUGACGCUGAGGCUCGAAAGCAUGGGUAGCAAACAGGAUUAGAUACCCUGGUAGUCCAUGCCGUAAACGAUGAGUGCUAGGUGUUGGAGGGUUUCCGCCCUUCAGUGCCGCAGCUAACGCAUUAAGCACUCCGCCUGGGGAGUACGACCGCAAGGUUGAAACUCAAAGGAAUUGACGGGGGCCC